UAAGCUAUAUAUAUAUAACCUCCACAUUGACUGUUUAAGAAAACUGGACGGAGUCUGACCUUGCCCAUAGAAAAUGACUUGCUUCUGGUUCCAACCUUGGUACAGUCCUUCCCACCGUGGGCUGGCCCAGUUCUUCCUCUUUAUGACUUUGAUGAACACCCAGUCACCUGGUUUCACUGGUGGGCUUUCCUGUGGAGAUAAAGAGUCAGAUGAUGGUAUUCACGAUGUGAUUACUGUUCUUUAAAACGAAGCCAUGCCGAAAGUGAAGAAGUCCAGCUCUGUUCAGACCUCCAUUAGCAGAUACUUUGGAGGGGAAACCAACAGCCUUCAAUUUUCUGGAGGAAAGGUGAAACUUUCCUCUGCUGAUGAACUGCCGGCAAAACGAGCAAAGCUUUCUGAGCAGGAACUGGACAGUGAACCUCCUUCAUCUUCUCAGAAAGGUUGGUAAGCUGAGCUCUUCAAAAACCCAGAAUCCUUUGCAGCUUCAGCUGCUAAAUCUAGCUUCUGACUGGGUGAUUCCUCUCCCCUCUUUUUUCCUUUAGAACCAAAUGUCACUCCAAAUAGACGUGGAGGCAGCUUGUGUUCAUCCACUUUAGAAAAGCUAAAGGGUUUCACCUCUGCGGCCAAACCCAGCGACAACACUGACACACAAGAAGACAUAGGGGUAAAUACUCCCGGCAGCAGCAAGGACAUCUGUCAAAGACGAGGAGGUUUACCUCCACCAGAAGCCCCUGAUCAACACAAGUUCAUAGGACUGCAAAAGCUAGAGGGGUGUGAGGAUGAAGAAAGAAAGGAAGCUGCAGCUAAACAGGUACCAUGUAAACACACCCUCUCAAAGUCAAAGUCGGCUUUAUUGUCAAAUGUACUGCAUCCAUAAAGACAUACAGCACAGAUGAAAUUGCUUUCCUCUCACCCCACAGUGCAAGCAGCAUAUAAAAAAUAAAUAAAUAAACGACUUAAAAAUAGAUAAAAAGACAGCAAUAAUAAGAAGAAUAACAGUUGUCUAAACAGUGCAGAGAGCAAUGAGGUGGUUAAAGUGGCAGUUUAA
rnacentral:lncRNA from 1 species